UACGGAGGGUGCAAGCGUUGUCCGGAUUUAUUGGGUUUAAAGGGUGCGUAGGCGGCUUUUUAAGUCCGGGGUGAAAGCCCGUUGCUCAACAACGGAACUGCCCCGGAAACUGGAGAGCUUGAGUACAGACGAGGGCGGCGGAAUGGAGGGUGUAGCGGUGAAAUGCAUAGAUACCCUCCAGAACCCCGAUUGCGAAGGCAGCUGCCUAGACUGUAACUGACGCUGAGGCACGAAAGCGUGGGGAGCGAACAGG
rnacentral:rRNA from 1 species